UACGUAGGGUGCAAGCGUUGUCCGGAAUUAUUGGGCGUAAAGAGCUCGAAGGCGGUCUGUCGCGUCGGCUGUGAAAUCCCGAGGCUCAACCUCGGGUCUGCAGUCGAUACGGGCAAACUGGAGUGUUGCAGGGGAGACUGGAAUUCCUGGUGUAGCGGUGAAAUGCGCAGAUAUCAGGAGGAACACCGGUGGCGAAGGCGGGUCUCUGGGCAACAACUGACGCUGAGGAGCGAAAGCGUGGGGAGCGAACAGG
rnacentral:rRNA from 1 species